UUCGCAAUGCCCGAAAGGGUGACGAAGCGACGCCGCGUGCGGGAAGAAGGCCUUCGGGUUGUAAACCGCUGUCGGGAGUUAAGAAAUGUAAGGAUGUUAAUAGCAUCUUUGCUUGACUAAGGCUCCGGAGGAAGCCACGGCUAACUCUGUGCCGGCAGCCGCGGUAAUACAGAGGCGGCAAGCGUUGUUCGGAAUUAUUGGGCGUAAAGAGCACGUAGGCGGCUAUGUAAGUCGGUUGUGAAAGCCUUCCGCUCAACGGGAGAACAGCAUCCGAUACUGCAUGGCUUGAGUGCGGGAGGGGAGAGUGGAACUUCUGGUGGAGCGGUGAAAUGCGUAGAUAUCAGAAGGAACGCCGGCGGCGAAAGCGGCUCUCUGGCCCAUAACUGACGCUGAGUGUGCGAAAGCUAGGGGAGCAAACGGGAUUAGAUACCCCGGUAGUCCUAGCCGUAAACGAUGGGCACUAAGUAGAGGGGUUUU
rnacentral:rRNA from 1 species